rnacentral:lncRNA from 1 species
GAAUGGAAUGAUGAACCUCUAGGUGCAGUUAUCAUAUGAUACAGUCCUUCUAUCGUGGAUCCCUGCAGGACGGAGGUCAUGGAUAACUCGUCAAAUCCCAUCAUCUGUCAUAUGUCAAGAUUUAUUCGACUUAAGUUCGUGAGUGGAAAACUCCUUUUCCACUGUACAUACUACCCCGGCCGAGGAUUUACGAACUCAGUCUCAUAAAUCACAUAGGAUAUCUCCUAAUCU